AGGUCGGAAGGUGUGCGGUGGGACGCAUGCCAGCAUAGACCGGAUUAAUCCGCUCUGAUGGACGCGUCACGGCCCCGGUGGCGGCGUU
rfam:Sulfitobacter geojensis strain EhN01 A2_Contig36, whole genome shotgun sequence.